AGCUCGCAACUGCGGCGGCAGCCGUGGCCGCUGGGUCGUGGCCAUCGUGGGCACAGCCGGCUCCGCUAAGGGUCCCCGCGGCCGGCAGGCGUGUGUUCCCGCAAGGGACCGCCUACCCACUCUCCCCGCCCCGGGAAGGACUGUGCCGCACCCGGGACUUUUCGGACUCGCCCAGCAGCGCGCGAGCAAGCAGGCAGCCGCUGGAGCCGAGCGCGGGCGGAAAACGAAAGCGCAGGGCGGGUCGCUGCCGCUUUGUCUCCGGCGCCACGGGCUGUUCGGGGAUCGAGUGAGAACCGCUGGCCCUUCGCGGGGACCAGCACCUCGCUAGCUUCUCUAGCAAGCGGUCCGCUCAUUCCCUCGCUUGUGCUCUGGAGCACUCGUGCACACACAUGCACACACUGAUGCACUCACGCGUGCGCUGCCACUCACGCGCACACUGCGCUCAGGCCCGUGCGUGCCGGCUCCUGCACGCACCAGAGGCCACUGGAGCUUCAAUUAGCACCUACUCCCACUUAUGUGUACACUGGCCACGCUCUGAUCUGAGCCCCCACAUAACUCAGUUGACUCCCCCGCCCGCCCCUCAAAACAAACACUGAAAACCCGCCUAUUUGGCUCCGCAGUCCCGGUGUCCCCGCUUCCCAAGAGCAGGUUCCGAUUUCUCGCAGAUGGUAAAGGCCCUGGCAGGAAGUUUAUACGGCUCAACGUAAACACGUUCUGGGGGAUUCUUUAAUAAUAAUAAUAGAGAAUCCCGCGUGCGCGGGGGGAGUUGGCCUAAUGCCCCUGUGGGCUCGGCCUGCCGCCGCCGCGGGGGCCUCUGACACUGCGCGCCAGGCCAGGUUCCGGAAGGCUGUCUGCGCGGGCGGGGAGCGCGGGCCCGGGCGGACGUUGCGCGCCCAGCUGCCCGCAGCCGGAGGCUCUCACGCACGCCUUUCCCCCGCCAGCCACCCAGCGCCGAGGUGCCGCCUAGGACGGGGUCGGGGGGACGGUGGCGCCGAGCGCAACGCCGCACGCGGGGACCCAGGGGGUGGAGCAAGAGACAGACUCUCCUAUAAUUCACCGUCUUUGUGCUGAGUACCCGGGCCAUGGCGGAUGCCAGUUUUGUCCUCCUGAGGAGAUGAGAUGUGGUCGACAGGGAAUGUUUCCUCACCAAAGUGAUUUCCUCUUUGCAUGCCGCCUUCAAAACUCUCCACCUCGAAGCCAGUAGCCCCGGUCCCCUCGCUGGGUACUGUAAAGCCAUUCUUAAGGACAUAAACCUCUGACAGCUUCACUCCGUGACAGCAGCUCAGGGUUCCGCCUCCCACUAUCCUUUGAACGGUUCUGCCUGGAUGAGCAGUGAUCAGUGACCUUAGGUGUUACUACUGUUAUUGUUUGGGGCUCUACGAAGCACACCCGCUUAGGUUACAAACCUGUGUGUCCUGACUGCUCGACCAACCGGCCGUCCCCCCAUCUCUCUCCUUCUCCUCGGGCCUCCCUGUUCCUUGAGACACAAUGUUGAAAUUAGGCCAAUUAAUGACCCUGCA